CUCGGUGGUGGUGACGGAGGAGGCCACCAUGCUGAAGGUGACCACCAGGAUGCCCAGGAGCACCUGAGCCAGCCCCAGGGAGCAAAGCAGGAAGAGAAUGAACCUCUGCACUGAGAUUGAGAAUGAACCAACCAAGAUUCUACCACUAUUCUCUGAAGUGCUCCUGAGCCUUAAAAAGCACCUCUGAUCUCUUGCCUGCUCCCACACACGCCAGAGAAUCUCCUGCUUUACAGCCUCCCGAAUACCGAGCAGAGUACUUGCAGAAUGGGAGAGGAAGAGGAAUAUGGAAUAAUUAUGGAACAGCACACAUGCCCCUCUGCAUCCGAAGAGUAUACCCACGUGACUGCUCCUGCUAGGCUGAACGUGGAGUAAAAGCAAUCAGUGAUGGUGAGGACAUCAGUGGAGGAG